rnacentral:snRNA from 1 species
GGAUGUGAGGGCAAACUGGUUGUGACAUCUGUCAACCUAUUGAUUGCCAGGGUUGAUUCGGCUGAUCUGGCUGGCUAGGUGGGUAUCCCCUUCCCCCCUCACCACCCUAUGUGCAUCCCUCCUGAAGGUGUGUUCUCAGUCAAUAGAGGAGGACUAUUCUUCAGUCAAGGGUAUACGAGCAGCUGCACACCCCUGCUAGGACCUCCAAACAAACCCUCAAGAAAAGCCUUGAUUCUACACCUUCAGUCCUCAGAGUGCAAGACACGAAUCCAAUCCAUUGGUCUGCCAGAUGCACACAUGGACACAGU